GAUGGAGGGAUGCAUUAGCAGGGACCAUCCUAGUGCUGGAGAGAGGGGAGAAUCAUCCUAAUGCUGGAGAGAAGGGGUGUGUGGCACAGUGCCUGGCCUGGGAGGGUAGACACAAGCUGAGGGGAAGAAGGAACAGACAUUUGACCUCUUAGAAGGCUGGACAAAUGUCUUGAGCUUGGAAACACCAUGAGGUGUUUAGAAGAUUUCACAGUUUUCUCCCAACCCUGGAAAGAAUGUAAGUCGAUGCUGCUGAUUGCCUUUGAAAACAUUUGGAACAAAUUAUCUCUACUUUUGGAAUCUGAAUAAAGGAAUGUGAGCCUCACUGGAGAAAUAUGAAAUACAGGGUGGGAUUCUCAGAAGAAAACUUGCCUCAGUUUCCCUGCCUGCAAGGUGCUGCCACACUGUGGUGCUGUGGAGUUUUCAUCAGCAAAACAAUGGGGAUCUCCAAGGGAAAGGUGUUAUGUAAAUUCAGGAAGCUCAGACUGAUCCACACUAAAAUGCUGAUGUGGCUAUUUGCAAUCUGGCUCGGAGCAAGUGCCCUUCUUCCAGUGCUUCCUAAUGCAGUGGAACAACACCAUCACUAAGAAAAGAUCACUCCAACAGCCUCCACCAGGGAAUUCAGAAACGAUCAUUAGACCAUCAAGUUCCCACUUGCGAUGUGACAAGCAGAACAUCUCUGUGUUAGGUCAGUUUUGAACUGAAGCCCAGAAAAAAUAGAAAAUGGAGUGUAAAUAUGUCCUCAGCUCUAGAUCUCCUGGACUUCAGGAAAUCUACAUAAACAUAGAGUCCCACUCAGCUUAAAAGCUCACAGCAGUGAAAUAUUACUAAUAAAACAUCAUCAAUAAACUUUCACAUACAGUAAUUGGAAUGCAAAAGGUAUUUAAUCUUCAAGCAUAUCAUAUAUCAUGGCUGAAGCCUGGAAAACGCUGAGAAUAAGAGCGUUUAUAUCCCUUUGCAUUUUCUGGGUUUAGGUUCCAUGCAAGACAAAGGAAGCAUCUGUAUGGAAAGUAUCAAUUCUGUGGCAAGGGUUAGGGAUUAAACUGCUGCUCUGUAAGUAUGUAUGUGUGUCUAAGAUGUAUACAUUUUUUCUGAAAGGAAGCCAGUCAAUCAGACAUUGAUUUUCCUGCAAAAAGUAUGAUUCAUUGAUGCACAGUUGUUAUUUAAGAAGCUCUAUUAGUUUUUCUCAUACAUGGAUUUUUGCAUCUAAAAUAUAUGCUUUGGUAGCGAGUUUGUGCCUCUGUUUUGCAGAAGAGGGAAAUCUUUACCUAGAAAUCUUAAUCUCCACUGAAUACUACCUUUCAGCUAAUGAGAUUGCUGUCACCUAAAUUUUCAUUGUUUUAAAAGCAAGUGGCUGCCGACAGUUUCCUUUCAAGCUUGAAUGAUGAAAGGAAAACACCACGCUGCCUCAUCUGGCUAGCUUGCUGAGAGCUAAUGAGCCUGAGGCUGCACCCAUCUUUGCUAUACUAGUGUGACCUUAUGUCUGCUAAUGCACAGGGAAGGAGUGAAAAAUGUACUGCGAGUUCCCUCCAACAGUUCCCUGG
ensembl:lncRNA